ensembl:ncRNA F43D2.13 ncRNA
UGUUGCGUGCCCCCUGUCUUUUCUCUACUCGCUUUUUCAUGAUUCUCUGAUGGAUCAGCAGCAGGCCGCCUGCUCCUGAUGAUGAGCAAAUGAGCCGGCGGCGGCGGCGGAGCCUUGUCAACUCAUUUUGUGCUGUGGUUUAGCUUUUUUGUUGUGCAUCUCAUCACAUUGAUGCACUGCGAUGACAACACACUUCCGAUGAUUUCUUGACUUUCUUUAUGUUUUUUUCAGGUUGUGUUAGGUAUGGUUGUCUGGAAAAAAGACA